rnacentral:rRNA from 1 species
GACGAACGCUGGCGGCGUGCCUAAUACAUGCAGGUAGAACGCACAGUUUAUACCGUAGCUUGCUACACCAUAGACUGUGAGUUGCGAACGGGUGAGUAACGCGUAGGUAACCUGCCUGGUAGCGGGGGAUAACUAUUGGAAACGAUAGCUAAUACCGCAUAAUAUUAAUUAUUGCAUGAUAAUUAAUUGAAAGGUGCAAUUGCACCACUACCAGAUGGACCUGCGUUGUAUUAGCUAGUAGGUGAGGUAACGGCUCACCUAGGCGACGAUACAUAGCCGACCUGAGAGGGGGAUAGGCCACACUGGGACUGAGACACGGCCCAGACUCCUACGGGAGGCAGCAGUAGGGAAUCUUCGGCAAUGGACGAAAGGCUGACCGAGCAACGCCGCGUGAGUGAAGAAGGUUUUCGGAUCGUAAAGCUCUGUUGUAAGAGAAGAACGGGUGUGAGAGUGGAAAGUGCACACUGUGACGGUAUCUUACCAGAAAGGGACGGCUAACUACGUG